UUCCCUCCGUCUCUCUCAUCUCGCAUCCUCUCAUUCUCUUUCGUCUUCGUCUUCGUCUUCGUCUCCUCUUCCUCACCUUUGACUAAAAUUAAUAUAAGAACCAAAAAGUUAUUUUAACAUAAAAAAGAAGGGAAAAACCCUACUACACCUUCUCCUCCCUUUUAUUUUUGUUUGAUUUUUCCCUCACCCAUCAUUAUUCGUAUCGUCCUUGCAGCGGUAGGAAGAUUUUUGAAGCUUGACUCAUGGAUCCUCAACCCGAGCCAGUCAGCUACAUCUGUGGAGAUUGUGGAAUGGAGAACACUCUGAAGCAGGGUGAUGUUAUACAGUGCCGGGAGUGUGGUUAUCGUAUUCUCUACAAGAAGCGCACCCGUCGCAUUGUUCAGUACGAGGCCCGCUGAAAUGCUUAUUCUUGCAAUGGACUUCUACUAGUAUCAUGAAUAUUUUGUAAGUUUCUUUUAGGAAAACAAAAACAAUACUCGAUAUGGAUUAAGGACUUGCUGUAGUACAAACAUGUUGAUAAUGCUGCUACUCUAUGAUUAAAUAUUUUUCGUUUCAAAUGCCAUUAUCCCCUUGUGCUAACUCCAUAUCCAACUGAUAAUAUGAAUGAAUGGUUUAUCUCUUGAUAGACUGGAUGGUUCAGUUUUGCA